AGAACCUUUAACAUCAGUCCCGUGAGACUGAGAAGGAACGUAAUAAUAUAGAGUAGGUCUAUCUAUAUCCUUUUUCUCAUACACGGAGAAAGGGUAUUUUUUAU
rfam:Alkalibacterium sp. 20 contig5, whole genome shotgun sequence.